AGAGGAAAAAAUGUUUUCUGCUAGGGUUUUUAAUCCCAGCCCCCACUGUCGCCGUUCUCAAACGAACCAACCUCCGGCGUUCGAAGGCGCUUCGGGUCUUAGCUUUUCGCCAGCCUCCCGAUUUGGAGCGGUGCGAGUGUAGGUUUCAACGGGGAAGCUUCAAAGGUAAAAAAAAACCCUUUUUUCUCUUUUGAUUUAUAUUUGUAUAAAAGCAAAAAAAUGAAAUAAAACAGAUAGCAGAGAAGAACCCCCGAUUCACCUUUGUUUUCUCUUUUCUAUUCGUAUCUCUUUUACACUAAAAAAAUAAAAUCCCCUUUUACAGAUUUAUCUCGGCCUUUUAUAACCACAAAAAGAAAAUGAAAUAAGCAAAAAAUAUCUCCUCUCAAUAUUCAUUGCGUUUUUUACUAUUAUUCUGUUACUGCUGCGUUGUACGUCCCCUUUUUCCACAGGUUCGGUGGCCGUGGAGUGCGCCCGUACGUGGAGGCCGAAACGUGCUACGAUUGGGCGUUGGGCGCUGCGUGGGUGCUGUUACGGUGCUGAGGUAGAUGCGGCUCUCCUUACUGCUUAGGGUUUUUUCUGUGUAAUUUUGAUGUGUUGGGCUGUUAGCUGCUAGGUUUAGGGGUUAUUGGGCCACUUAUUUGUUGGGCCUUAGACGAGUUUAGGCCUGCUGAAAUUGCCUGCUUUGUUUUUGUUUGGGCCCGGGCAAAUUGGGCUUGUACAGCUGCCCCUCUUUGCUCAUUGUCGUGUAACGGGAAUAGAGCAAAGACUAAAAGCCCAAUUGUGCCCGGUCCUACUGAGCCUCACCUUCUUCAGUGCUUUUCUUCUUCAAGUUGCACCAUUCCAACCUACUGCAUCUUCAGAGGUAUAGGAACUGGUGCUCCAAUCUACUCCACUGGAAUGUCUGGGAGAUAAGAUUCGUAUGCUGUAGCUUCAAAAUUUGCUAUCUUUAAUCUGCUCCACUGUAACUUCAAGGAGAUAAGACUUGUAGCUUCAAGUUGUUCUGCUACAACUUAAAGGUAAAUCUGAUGCAAUCUGCUCUACUGCCACUUCAGACAGAUGAGAUCUGCGGUUUUAAUCCUCUCCACUGCAACCUCAAGGAGAUAGGAUUAAUUUCUUCAAUUUGUUCAACUGCAAUGUCGGGGAAACCAGAUCCGCCAUCGUAGCUUCAAUCUGUUCCACCGCACCGUCAGGGAAGUAAGAUCCACCGUUGUGGCUUCAAUCUUUUAAAUUGCAAUGUCAGGAAAACUAGAUCCGCCGUCGUAGCUUCAAUCUAUUCCAUUGCACUGCUAAGGAAGUAAGAUCCACCGUUGUGGCUUCAAUCUUUUUAAUUGCAAUAUCAGGGAAACCAGAUCCGUCGUCAUAGCUUCAAUCUGUUCCACUACACUGCUAAGGAAGUAAGAUCCACCAUUGUGGCUUCAAUCUUUUUGAUUGCAAUAUCAGGGAAACCAGAUCCGCCGUCGUAGCUUCAAUUUGUUCCACUGCACUGCUAAGGAAGUAAGAUCCGCCGUUGUGGCUUCAAUCUUUUUGAUUGCAAUAUCAGGGAAACCACAUCCGCCGUCGUAGCUUCAAUCUGUUCCACUGCACUGCUAAGGAAGUAAGAUCCGCCGUUGUGGCUUCAAUCUUUUUGAUUGCAAUAUCAGGGAAACCAGAUCCGCCAUCGUAGCUUCAAUCUGUUCCACUGCACUACUAAGGAAGUUAAGAUUACUGGCUUCAAUGUACUCCACUGUAACCUCAGGGAGGUAAAAUCUGCCAUCUUUGAUCUGCUCCACUACUGCUUAGGGAAAUAAGAUCUGUAAUCUUCAAUCUAUUCCACUGUUGUCCAGGGAGAUAGAAUUACUGGCUUCAAUGUACUCCACUGUAACCUCAGGGAGGUAAAAUCUAUCAUCUUCGAUCUACUUCAAGCCAAUACAUGAAGACAAGAUCUGCUUUUUCCUUCGAUCUACUUCGCCACCAGUAUGGGAAGGCAAGAUCUGUUAUCUCUGAUCUACUUCACGCCAGUACAUGAAGACAAGAUCUGCUUUCUUUGAUCUGUUUCGCCACCAGUAUGGGAAGACAAGAUCUGUUAUCUUUGAUCUACUUCACACCAGUACAUGAAGACAAGCUCUGCUUUCUUUGAUCUGCUUCGCCACCAGUAUGGGAAGGCAAGAUCUGUAUAUUCGAUCCACUUUGCUACUAAUAUAGGAAGACAGGAUCUGGUAUCUUUGAUCUACUUCACGCCAGUACAUGAAGACAAGAUCUGUUUUCUUCGAUCUACUUCGCCACCAGUAUGGGAAGGCAAGAUCUAGUAUCUCUGAUCUACUUCACGCCAGUACAUGAAGAUAAGAUCUGCUUUUUCCUUCGAUCUGCUUCGCCACCAGUAUGGGAAUGCAAGAUCUAGUAUCUCUGAUCUACUUCACGCCAGUACAUAAAGACAAGAUUUGCUCUCUUUGAUCUAUUUCGCCACCAGUAUGGGAAGGCAAGAUCUGCAUCUUUGAUCCACUUCGCUACCAGCAUAGGAAGACAGGAUCUGUUAUCUUUCAACCUGCUCCACUGUUCCUCAGGGAGAUAAGGCUUAUGAUUUCACCGAUCUGCUCUCUGUGGAACAUGACCUGUAUGAUUCAUCUUAUGAACCUAAUUAUGCCUAGUGAUUAGGAUGUCAUGAUCAGAAUGAAUCAAAUGCCCCUAACUAGACAUGUAUGAAUGACAUUUGAAUGAAUGCAAAAUGUCAUGAAAAUGAUAUUUUAACGCUCGAGUUAUCAUUACUCCAAGUUUAUUAAGGUCUUAUCGCUUAAUGUACUAUAGCGCCUUUAUCCUAGGCUGAAGAACCCAAUAAGCACUUAACCAAAUUGCCCCCCACUGUAAACCUCCAAGUUUGAUCCACUGAGAUGCAAAAAAUUGUACCAUCUUUUCCGUUGUAACCCAAGAGUAAAAGAUUUGGCCUUUUCUCAAUCCUUUGUUAUCACAAUACAGGAUGUGAAACUUUUUGGUCUCUUACACCAUUCCCAGGGUGUUGUACCAAAUGCUCAUGCACAAAUGAAGAAAUCUUCUCCAAAAACAACUUCCUCUUAUUAUUCGGUGAUCAUCGCUGUCUUGUUCAUUGAAGCUUUGUCACCAACACGAUAUCUUGUCAUUUGUUGGACAAGAAAAUUCAAAGGGAUAGUCUUAAUUUAGACUCUUUUUUAUCAGAUUUCCAACCUAGUGCAUUCUAAACAAUAGUCCUGUUUGAGGUUCCUAUAUUAUUCAGAAAUUUCUAGAGUAAUAAGCAAAACUUCCCUUGUGAAAGUUUUAUUAGUCUAUUAAUCAUUAUUCUAAUGCAACAUGCUUGCAAAAAAGAUUAUGGAUAAGAAUAGAAUUGGUCCUGAGCAUAGCUUGAAAUGAAUAAGUUGUCAAAGAUAAUAAAGAUAAAUGACAAAGAAAUGGAUUUAGAAAUGUGUAUCUUGGAAAUGAAUGAAGUGUUCCAAGAAUAACAAAAAUGGUAUAAGGAUUAGGUGCCCCAGAUAUCGUAACUUGAACUUCUCUGUACAGACUUUCUGAAGACCAUUCCGAGUUUAACAUGUGUUUAGGAGAUCUACAAUACUUCGUCGAUGCCCCAAGAUGUCGCAUACCCUUUCCUGCUGAUUUUGGUAUAGCAAGACCACUAUAUAUCCCAUUCUGAUCAGUAUUUGAGCCACCCUUUUCGGGUUUUCAACUCAAAUCCCCUUUGGUCUAAGGCGCCCUUUGCGAGUUUUCACCUUAGCCUCUCCUCCUUUUUUUUUUUGGAAUCAAAGCGCCCUUUGCGGGUUUUCACCUUGGUUCCUUCCCAAGACCGAAUCUGAAUUUACUGGAUUAGGCAAGUUUCUUCCAUCCAUUUCAGCCAGGAUUAGGGCUCCUCCCGAAAAGGCAUUUUUUCAACGUAAGGACCCUCCCAAUUCGGCAUCCAUUUCCCCCUAAAAUCUUUUUGUAGAGGAAGAAUUUUUCUCAACACCAGGUCCCCCUCGUGAAAUUCUCUGGAUCAGACCUUCUUGUUGUGGGCUCGCAUCAUUCUUUUCUGGUACAUCUGAUCAUGCUGAAUAGCCAUUAGCCUUUUCCUUCAAUUAGGUUCAACUAAUCGUGUCAGUAUUGGAUUUUCAUCUUACUUUAGCUCAGCCAAAACUCGAAAAGAAAGAAUUGCAACUUCAAUAGAAAAAAUCGUGAUGAACUAAAGAGAGAGGCAUUACUCCGGCAGAGUUUUCACUGCAUCAUUCAUGAUAUUAAUCUUGAACAUACUGCAAAUUUCUGAUAUCGUGCUGUUGUUCAGAUUGCAAUGACGGCGCUUAAACCGGGUACAUCCUGGUAUCACUAUGCGAAGGCAUCUUUGAAUGCUUGAAGUAACCCAACAACGUAUUGCUUUUUCAGUCAUGCAUGUUCCCUCAAGGUCACAGUUUUUAUUGUCUCCUCAUGAGGUAAAAUUUUUUUUUCUGCUCUACCAUCCUUAAUAAGUCCAGAAAUAAGCUACGAUCCAUGUCAUCUUCAAAGUUGUGAGAUCCCUCUAAACACAUGUCUCACUCAAAAGGAGAUUCUAAAUCUGUAGCAGUGUCAUUCAUGUCAUUGAUAUUUGGGGACCCAUAGUGGGUACCAAAAAAUAUAAAAAAGAAUGUAUGAAUAAUAUGAAUGAACGAAUGAAUGAUUUGGCAGGAGAAAUCCAAUAGAAUGAAGAAAACGUAAAGACUGAAAGAACAUUUGCUCAAAGAUGAUUGCAAUAAUGUAUUCAUUAAAAAUAAUAAUGUUCAGACAUGAGCCUAUUUCACAAAGGAGUUCUUAUUACUUCUAGGCUAAAAGCAACAAAUGUGUUCUGAACAUUACUCUAACAGACUCUAAAUAAUAUAGGGGUUUCCUCUGCAGUCCCAUUAUUUUUAACACCUCCCAGGCGAAUAUCUGACCAGAAAGCAUUGCAUUCCCUUCAUUAUCAAUCAUGAUUGGGUAAUGGAUUUUCUGCACUUGAUGAGUCACCAAACUUGACAACACCCAUGUCGAUGAGUCUUUCAACUUGCUUCUUGAAGGCAGUGCAAUUCUCAAUCGAAUGUCCCGUAAUUCCCGCAUGGUAUUCACAUUGCGCGUUCGCAUCAUACCAUUUGGGAUACGAAGGUUGUAGAGGCUUCACAGGAAAAGGGGAAACAACAUGGGCAUCAAACAGAUUUUGAUACAGUUUCCUAUAUGGUACUGGAAUUGGCGUGAAUCGGGGCCUCUCUGUGUUUUGUCCUGUACCAGCUUCCUGUCUCGAUGAACCUUGCUGGUUAGCAGCCACCUUUCUUGGCUGACUUACACUAACUGAUUUAGAGUAACCCAUGUUGUUCACCUCAUCUUCUCUUCUCCUUGAGACUGACCUCUUGUUACUCUCUCCAGCAUCGAUCUUUCCAUUUAUUAUGGCAUUUUCGAUCAUCUCGCCAUUCAUGAUUAUGUCGGGAAAGCUUUUUGUGGCACUCCCCAACAUAUGUGUAAUGAAUGGUGUCUUCAGUGUGUUAAUGAACAGCAUGUUUAUUUCUUUUUCCAAGAGUGGUGGUUGGACGUGGACUGCGACCUCCCUCCAUCUCUGUGCAUACUGCCUAAAGCUUUCGCUCGGGUUCUUCUCCAUAUUCUGAAGGGUGAUUCUAUCAGGAGCCAUGUCUGUCACAUGACUAUAUUGUUUCAUGAAUGCUUGCGCCAAGUCCCUCCAUGAACCAAUCGUGGCACGACUCAAUUGAUUGUACCAUUUGGAUGUUGCCCCUGCAAGGCUGUCUUGGAAACAAUGUAUCAAGAGUUGGUCGUUGUUGACAUAUCCCACCAUUCGCCUGCAGAACAUGGUGAUGUGAGCUUCUGGGCUGCUUGUCCCGUUGUACUUGUCAAAUUCAGGCAUCUUAAACUUAUGAGGAAGUACUAAAUCUGGUACUAAACUUAGCUCUUUUGCGUCAAUGCCUCGAUAACUCUCAGUGACCUCCAUCGCCUUGAACUUCUCCUCGAGCCACCUACACCUUUCCUCUAACUGUUUCGGUAACUCCUCCUUCAUUCUUUCCUUCUCAACCACUUCAUCAAAGUCAGGAAUGGCAGAGUUAACAGGAUUAUUUUCAGGAUUAGAACCCGGCCCAGUUUGGAGGUUCGAAAUACCAGCCCGAAACUACUGAGGCAUGAUAGUGACAGUAGAUUUACGCGGUUAUUCAGCUUGGGCUCGCAUAUGUGGAGGGGUGAAACCUGGAGUGUAAAGAAUUUCAUCAUUAUUUCCCUCAUCGACAUUUGCCAUGGGACCCUUUCGUUUAUCACUUCCCUUAAUUAUUAGUUGGGUUAACUUUGCCACUAUAUCUUCUUGGGAUUCUCGCAUCUUCUCAGACAUCUCUUGUUUCAUCUUGUCUAACCGCUCCUGCAUUUGUAGCUGAAGCCGGUCUUGCAUCUCCUUCUGGUACUGUUCGAGCUUUUCUAAUCUCUGAUCCAUAUCUUUUGUCUUUGCUCGAGUGCCGUAUCGAUGUUGGGUUGGUUGGUUGGAUUCCAGGUUAACUGAGCAAUGAUUUUAGUUAAUUAGGAUCUUUGAAUAAUCUUUGAUGCAUAUGAUGUAAUGAAAUGCGAAUGCAUGAAAUGAAUGCAUAAAGAGACGUUGAUUCUGAUUCAAUUCCAUUUAGAAAACCUUACUAGAGGACAAAUUUCUUUACAUAAAGUGGAUAUAUAUAUGGCUUUGCCCUCAUACUCGAAGCAAAGACAUCUUCUCCUUUCUCAUCCGGAUGUUAAGCUAAACCUCGCGAACUUCCAAUGGAUGUCACUGCUAGGUCCUUCUACUUGAUUCUGGUCGCAAUCCGUUGUCUGCCUAUCCUCGUAAUGCUCAUUAGCUUCUUUAAGAAAUUUGGAAUGUUGAAAGCUGUUAGACAAAUCAUCUUGAAUCCUCGGGCCCCAAAGUAAAGUCACGAAUUCUUCCAUCGCCCUUCUUGUAUUUCUUGGAAUAUAUUCAGGCUGCCGUACUAUUUUCCAUUUUAUCAAGAAACCCGUUUUCUUAUGAUAGGCUUUCUAAACUAGUAAUCAAACUUGAAUCAACAUCUCUUUUCUACAAUGCAAAUGCAAUGCAAUCAUAACCAAAACAAAACAAAACGGGUUAGUAUCGGGUAUAAACAUUAAAUCCAAUACAAUCAAGAAAUAAUAAAAACUCCUAGUCAGGUAUCUACUAAGGUUUAGAGUAAUUCUACCUAGGGUAAGUUCCUAAGGUUCACUAUGUGUGGUUUGGCUUCUAAGGUAAAGGUACCCGAACCAGCAGAUUCCUCGAUCUUCACCCAUUAUAGGCUCAUUGAAUCGAGUUUAGUUCAGGGGAAUACAUUUCCCUAUGGCUGCACGGAGAUGAAAAUCUCACGAAGACAUAGGUACGGAUGUAUCCCGGAAGCGGUCCACUACCCUGCACGGAGAUGAAAACCUCACGAAGGACUAGUUUCUCGCUCCCACUUAAAGGGUGAAAUGCAAAAUGCAAAUGCAAAGUUGCCAAAAUACCAUGAUAAAACAUCAAUGAGUGCGAAGGGAACUCAUGAAUUUUUUUAAAAACUUUUGAUUAUUGACACAAAGACAAAUAUGAUCAAUUUAUGGCUCGACUCUCUAAUGUCCCCAGCAGAGUCGCCAAGCUGUCGAAACCGUUUUUUGAAAACAAAAAUUUUUAGUGUCGACUUAAAAAUAAAAACUGGAGUCGCCACCGAUCCUUUAUUAAGGUGUGAUCGGCCCACCUUAAAAAUAACUUUGGUCUGCGAAGUUUGAGAAAAUAGGCUCGGGAGUCAGUUACGCACGAGGAAGGAUUAGCACCCUCGUAACGCCCAAAAUUGGUACCAAAUUGAUUUUUUAAUGCCUUGGUGUCGAAAAUUUGAAAAGAUUUUAAAAGGAAACUUUUUAUUUCAUGAAUGGAUUAAAAUAAUAAGACAUUCAUAUUUCAAAGAAAUAAAACACCACACCAGUGAGUUAGGGCACAAUGUUUUUAAAUCUCCAAAAUACCCGAAUAUUGCCUUUUGCUUUUGAAAAUUCUUAUCUCGAGGAAAAAAAUGUCAUGACCAGUAAGUUAGGACCCAACAUUUUUGAAUUCCCGAGAAUAAGUUUUUAUUUGAAAUUUGUGAAUUUGUUGCAAAACAAAUACUUGGCUUUCUAAAUUCAUCGAAAAAAUAAUCGCGAUCCAGUAAGUUAGGACACGAUCUUUCACGAGAAUCAUGAAUGCCAAAUAUUUUGGAAUUUAUAAAAUAUGAUGAUUUAAGUGCUUUGACAAAACAAAAACAUAUUUCCCAAAAGGUAUGUUAAAAGUUAAUGUAUAAUACGAAACAAAAACUUUAAUUUAAAACAUAUUUGAAUAAAUAUUUACAAAUAUAUAUAUACAGGUACAAUAUACAAGUAGAUUUGUAAAUGUGUGUCCGCAUAUUAAAACACAUACAUAUAGGUAUAUAUAUAUAAAAAAUGAAAUAUGCAGAAAAACUUAUAAUAACUCCUAAAAAAUAUGUAUGUUUAUUUUACAAAUAUACAUGUAUAUGUACAUAUGAAAAUUCUGAAAGUAAAAUAAAAUAUAAAAAUAUGUAUUUGUGUAUAUAAUUAAAAAAAAUAAGAAAAUGUAUAAGUGUAUGUAUUGGUAAAUCAUGAAAAUGCAUAUAUGUAUGUUAAAAUGCUUAUAUAUGUACAAUAUGUAUAAAAUAAUGGAAUAUAUAUAGAACAUCAAAAAAAAAAAAUUUAAAAAAUGUAUAUAUAUGCAUGAAUUAUAAAACCUAGAAAUAAACAUUAUAAAAUAUAAAUGUAUAUAUAUAUGUAUAUAAAACCAUGAGAAUAAAAUAAUAACGAAAUAUAUAAAAUAUAUAUGCACAUUUAAAAAACAUUUAAUAUAUAAAGUACCUAUUAUAAAGUACAUAUGCACGCGUAUGUAUAGGUAUAAUAAUAAUAAUAAUAAUAAUAAUAAUAAUAAUAAUAAUAAUAAUAAUAGUAAAUAGUAAACUUGAUUAGAAAAACAAAGGCAAAGGAUAAAGGACGUAUUUGCAAAAUGCGCAUAAUCUGAAGGGCCAAAAGGGGAAUUAGUCCCGCCCUUCCUAAACGCUACGCAGAAUUGGACUAAAUCGUCACACGGGCAAAAUGUUUGGGCCAAAUUUCAAGGGAAAAAAAACUUGAUUAAAACGCGUCGCAAAAGGGGGAGGGCUAGCUGCGCAAUUUACCCUUUAAGGCCAGAACACGCGGGUUAUGGCUACCUAAACGGCGCCGUUUUGCCAACCUUAUUUAAAAAAUUUUCUUUUAAAGAAACAGAAGGUUUGCAUCAGAGGAAAAAAUGUUUUCUGCUAGGGUUUUUAAUCCCAGCCCCCACUGUCGCCGUUCUCAAACGAACCAACCUCCGGCGUUCGAAGGCGCUUCAGGUCUUAGCCUUUCGCCAGCCUCCCGAUUUGGAGCGGUGCGAGUGUAGGUUUCAACGGGGAAGCUUCAAAGGUAAAAAAAAAAACCCUUUUUUCUCUUUUGAUUUAUAUUUGUAUAAAAGCAAAAAAAUGAAAUAAAACAGAUAGCAGAGAAGAACCCCCGAUUCACCUUUGUUUUCUCUUUUCUAUUCGUAUCUCUUUUACACUAAAAAAAUAAAAUCCCCUUUUACAGAUUUAUCUCGGCCUUUUAUAACCACAAAAAGACAAUGAAAUAAGCAAAAAAUAUCUCCUCUCAAUAUUCGUUGCGUUUUUUACUAUUAUUCUGUUACUGCUGCGUUGUACGUCCCCUUUUUCCGC
rnacentral:lncRNA from 1 species